CUAUCAGCCCGGGAGUUUGGGGAACAGCCGACUGUUUUCCUGUAACAACAAAGCACUCGCUAUAUCUCGCUCAUCUCUUUUCUUUCUCUCUUUCUCCGGGAAAUAAAGCUGCCUUCAAGUUCAGUCGGAAAUGUCGAGAUCUAUAAACCAUCUGACAGAAAACAGUGAGUGUGAAAUAUAAAGUGUACUUGUGCUACAUUGGGAAGUCACACAAACAGGCUGUUUCAGUGACACUCCCACCGCUGCACAAACUCUGCCAAAAAUGUGCAGAUCACUUUCUUUGGUCUGAACUCAGCUUAAGGUCUAUUACAUGUCUAUAGUGUCUACAGAACACAAUAUGAGUCAUUAUUAUACCGGGUAUAAAAGGUUAUUACAUGUCUAUAGUGUCUACAGAACACAAUAUGUGUUGUUAUUAUACCAGGUAUAAAAGGUUAAUGAAUGUUUCACUUUUUGUCUGAAAAGUGUUUUUGUUCAUUAUUAGUCACUUUGGUUAUUUUUUAGGUUGUUUUGUGGGUAAGAUGGUUUAUAAGUCAAAGACAUCUGUAAA